rnacentral:misc_RNA from 1 species
CCUCCUUAAAAAAUAAUCGCUUAGGAUAGGCGUUCACACGAAUAACUUGCUUUUACCUAAAUCGUUUCUUUACAGAUUUGAGAUUAAGGAGCGUUCUUUAACAUUUUUAUAAGUUCAAUCAAGUCACAUCAUAGUGUCUUAGUUUUUUAAUUUAGAUAUGAAUGAUGUGCAAAUGUCACCAAACCCGUCAUGUUUUAGAACAUAAGUUUGGUGUACAUACUGCAAAGUAAUUUUGGCGAAUGACAAUAGAUACUUGAAGAACAUUAAUCAUUAAGUUGUUUGAUGUAAUAUGGUCAAGUAAUUAAGCGCAUACGGUGGAUGCCUA